CAUCAGGGGAAUAGCGUUACAACGGCGAGUGAAGCGGCAAAAGCUCAAAUUUGAAAUCUGGCACCUUCGGUGUCCGAGUUGUAAUUUGAAGAAGGUAACUUUGGAGUUGGCUCUUGUCUAUGUUCCUUGGAACAGGACGUCACAGAGGGUGAGAAUCCCGUGCGAUGAGAUGCCCAAUUCUAUGUAAAGUGCUUUCGAAGAGUCGAGUUGUUUGGGAAUGCAGCUCUAAGUGGGUGGUAAAUUCCAUCUAAAGCUAAAUAUUGGCGAGAGACCGAUAGCGAACAAGUACAGUGAUGGAAAGAUGAAAAGAACUUUGAAAAGAGAGUGAAAAAGUACGUGAAAUUGUUGAAAGGGAAGGGCUUGAGAUCAGACUUGGUAUUUUGCGAUCCUUUCCUUCUUGGUUGGGUUCCUCGCAGCUUACUGGGCCAGCAUCGGUUUGGAUGGUAGGAUAAUGACUAAGGAAUGUGGCUCUACUUCGGUGGAGUGUUAUAGCCUUGGUUGAUACUGCCUGUCUAGACCGAGGACUGCGUCUUUUGACUAGGAUGUUGGCAUAAUGAUCUUAAGCCACCCGUCUUGAAANCCGGGACACAAAA
rnacentral:rRNA from 1 species